UUUAAAUGAACCACGAGUUUCCGCGCUCAACAUUGAUCGUCCGAUUUGAAAAAAUUUUAUAAUUAGUAUUUUUUUUGUUGUUAUGAGAUGAUAAAACAUGAAUAGUACUUUACUUAUAACUUAUGUUUUUAAAUUUUUUCAAAAUUAUUUUAAAUAAAACGGACAAUUAAAGUUGGGCGCGGAAAACCAUUGCUGCACUUAAA
rfam:Oryza sativa (indica cultivar-group) chromosome 7, whole genome shotgun sequence.